rnacentral:ncRNA from 1 species
AAAAAUGUAAUGAUGAAGCCGAGUAAAUGAUUUGAUGGUUUAAGAGAGUGCUAUGUUUGGUGAGAAUAGCAUAACCCCCUCAAUUCAUUGAACCUACUUCUGAACAGUCAUGACAACAUGACCGUAGCCUUGCGAUAAAAGGAAAUGAGUUGUGCUAUUAUGGCAAACUAAGGUGGUACCGCGGAAACUGUAUGCGUUUUUCGUCCUUAUU